CAGUAUCAGCAGGAGGGAUACCCAGUAACAGGGACUCAUAUGGGGCUCCUCCCUGCAGGUGUCUCGGGCCACGUGCUAAUCUCUUUUUGAUAGCCUCUGCCUGCAGCAGAUCUCCUGGGUGCUGCCUGGGAGAGGGGCCAGCCCUUUGCUUCUGGUGCUUGGGGCAAAUCACUCACUUGUGAAGUCUUCCCUGAGGCCUGAAGCCCACGUUGGGGAGGGACCUGAGCUGGCUGGGGGAGUUCAUAGCCCAAGGGCUUCCCAGGUGGCGCUUGUGGUAAAGAACCCGUCUGCCAAUGCAGGAGAUGGAAGAGACACGGGUUUGAUCCCUGCAUUGUGGGAAGAUCUUCUGGAGGAGGGCACGACAACCCACUCCAGUAUUCUUGUCUGGAGAAUCCCAUGGACAGAGGAGCCUGGCGGGCUGCAGUCCAUAGGGUUGCAUAGUGUUGGACACGACUGAAGCAACUUAGCAUUGUGUCCUCAGGUGACCCCUGCUGCAGCCGUCUUGUGACCAUAAGGAGAGAAACGAGCUACGUCCUGAGGUUGCAAAGCACAAGAUCGGCCAGCAUUUGAGCCUUUAAUGACAUCUUCCUGCCCCUGGAUUAACUAAAUGUAGAAUUUCCCCUCAUUUCUGGACCUCUAGCUAUGUAGGUUAAUAAACUUCUAUUGUUUAAUGUACUUAAAAUCCAGGUUUCUGGUACUUACAGCUAAAAA
ensembl:lncRNA